rnacentral:rRNA from 1 species
UACGGAGGGUGCAAGCGUUAAUCGGAAUUACUGGGCGUAAAGCGUGCGCAGGCGGUUUGUUAAGUCCGUUGUGAAAGCCCCGAGCUCAACUUGGGAAUUGCAGUGGAUACUGGCAGGCUGGAGUACGGUAGAGGAAGGUGGAAUUCCCGGUGUAGCAGUGAAAUGCGUAGAUAUCGGGAGGAACACCAGUGGCGAAGGCGGCCUGCUGGGCUGCACCUGACGCUGAGCCGCGAAAGCCAGGGGAGCGAACGGG